AUUGAACGCUGGCGGCAGGCCUAACACAUGCAAGUCGAGCGGAUGAAGGGAGCUUGCUGCUGGAUUCAGCGGCAGAGGGGGGGUUAAUGCCUAGGAAUCUGCCUGUUAGUGGGGGAUAACGUCCGGAAACGGGCGCUAAUACCGCAUACGUGCGGAGGGAGAAAGUGGGGGGUUGUCGGACCUCACGCUAUCAGAUGAGACUAGGGCGGAUUAGAUAGUUGGUGGGGUAAAGGCCUACCAAGGCGACGAUCCGUAACUGGUCUGAGAGGAUGAUCAGUCACACUGGAACUGAGACACGGUCCAGACUCCUACGGGAGGCAGCAGUGGGGAAUAUUGGACAAUGGGCGAAAGCCUGAUCCAGCCAUGCCGCGUGUGUGAAGAAGGUCUUCGGAUUGUAAAGCACUUUAAGUUGGGAGGAAGGGCAGUAAGUUAAUACCUUGCUGUUUUGACGUUACCAACAGAAUAAGCACCGGCUAACUUCGUG
rnacentral:rRNA from 1 species